rnacentral:rRNA from 1 species
CCUACGGGGGGCAGCAGUGAGGAAUAUUGGUCAAUGGACGGAAGUCUGAACCAGCCAUGCCGCGUGCAGGAAGACGGCUCUAUGAGUUGUAAACUGCUUUUGUACAAGGGUAAACCUGAAUACGUGUAUUCAGCUGAAAGUACCGUACGAAUAAGGAUCGGCUAACUCCGUGCCAGCAGCCGCGGUAAUACGGAGGAUCCAAGCGUUAUCCGGAUUUAUUGGGUUUAAAGGGUGCGUAGGCGGAUUGAUAAGUUAGCGGGGAAAUGUCCGGGCUUAACUCGAGAACUGCCUCUAAUACUGUUGAUCUAGAGAGCAGAAGCGGUAGGCGGAAUGUAUGGUGUAGCGGUGAAAUGCUUAGAGAUCAUACAGAACACCGAUUGCGAAGGCAGCUUACCAAUCUAUAUCUGACGUUGAGGCACGAAAGCGUGGGGAGCAAACAGGAUUAGAUACCCCAGUAGUC